UUGCAUUCGCAACUGAGUCGCCAGAAGAAAUCGAACAAUUUGAUAGCUUUCAACUUAUUCUCAUAUAUUCUCACAAUUCGGGAAAGAGUUUGGAGCAAAGUUCUGAGCAAAGUUCUGUAGGAGUGGUAGGAGUAGUAGGAGUAGCUUCAAAUUUAGUCCACUUUUCUUCCUGAUUGCUGACUCAUCUCUCCGCGCCUUUCGCGCCUGUUUAUAUCCCUGUAACGUUCACGCUCGCGUAACGUUCACGCGUAACGCCCUACUACGCUUUGUCAUUUUUUUGACAGUCCACCUCCCAGUGAGGUAGUAACGAUACUCACGAUCUACUUGCGUAGGAGCUACUGUUGUUACGCGCUUCCUGGUUUGUUUACUUAAUUUCUGUUCUGUCAACGCAACCCGCGUGCGCACGCGGUGUUGCCUAUCUAUUCUAUUCCUGUUCUAUUCUGUCCUGUGUAUUCGCGUGGCCGUACCUCUAUUUUUGCGAUUUUCGUCGCCGGCCUUUCCAGGACUCGUUUUGCGGUUUUUACCACUGCCCUCCGUACCUGUCCGUCUCUAUCCUCUUUCACCUGUAUCACUCGUCCCUUUGGCCACUCGCCGCGCGGUAAUGUGUGGUCAAUUACUAUUACGACGUCCCCUACCGCGAGGGGUUCGACCGGCUCGAACCACUUGGUUCGUUUCCCCAACGUUGGACGACUGCACCGCGGAGGCCGAAUCGUUUAGCAUCGCUGGCGGCUUGUCCCCGUUAGAGCUGCCAAGGAGGAUGUGGUUUGGGGUUAUUGGGGUGCCGUCUUCAUCGUCCAGCGGCAGGUAAGUGAGAGGCCUAGAGUUAAUAAUCAUUUCUGCUUCCUUCAGGGUCGUCAGUAGCACCUUCUCCUUUGGUACCCGUGGCAGCUCCAUCCUGCUUAGCGUCCUCUUGACGGAUGCCACCAGCCGCUCCCAACAUCCGCCGAAGUGUGGACCCCCGGGUGGGUUAAAAGUCCACUGUAGUGACGGACUAGUGAAUGCCUCACUGAGUUCAUGCGCGGCACCGACAAGUUCGUGCCGCAGUCGCUGACGAAUUCCUUGGGGCAGCCUCUGCUGGCAAUAAACCUUCGCACGGCCAGGAUGCAGGACGAUGUGGUUAGUGUCGGCACGAUGUCUAUGUGCACCGCUCUUACUGUUAAACACGUGAAUAAUACCCCCCACCUCUUUUCUUUGCGUCUUGUCUAUCGUGGCUCUGGCUAAUUCUGGAUCUUUUUUCAGACGCUUCAUGAGGCACACGUGGCGUCGCAUGGCCAUUUCCCGGCUUGGCGGCAAGACGAUAUCAUCGCGUUUCCAGAGUAAGCCUGUUUCGUAUCGUCGGUUCAGUAAUCGGGUGCUGUUAUUAAGAAGCUCGGUCGCUCUCUUCACUUCCUUUGACAGCAACGGUUGCGCGGUGCUCGCUAUUCCUAACGAUUCGGGGCUAAAGUAAUCUUGUAGCUUCUGGUUCAUCUCGUUGUCGCUGGCUGACGAUACGCUUAUGCAGUACACGUGGCUACUUGCAGAUGGAGGCAGUCCACCGAGUGGCCCAUAUACUGUCCAACCUAACCGGGACUUUACCGCAACUGGUUCACCUAUUUUCCCUUCUUUAUAUUUUAGGGGCUUCAACAGGUGGCAAUGAUCAACGCCGAUCAACAGCCGAGGAUGGGCGUCGAGGUAUGAUGUCGCUGGGAUACCACUAUGCACGUUGGUGAGCCUAUGCGAGUGGAGCGAAUCAGCCGCUCCAAUCAACACACAAUCAAUUUCUACCGAAUCCGCCUCUUCUCGUGUGGUGUCACCCGUCCAGUUCAAACAUAUCGGGCGUGGCGUUCCCUUCAACCCCAACUCGUCAACCAGAUCGUGAUCGAUGAAGGUGGACGUCGAUCCUUCGUCCAGCAGGGCAACGGUCUGUGCGGAGUGGUGUUUGCCGAACAGAGUUACUGGUGCAUACCGCAGUAACGCGCCGUCCGCCUUCGUAGUGGAGUGCGUAUAACAGUGUCCUUGUGUGUUGCGGGGUUUCGUUGCCUCUUGGUCAGUGCUUCCAGUGUCGGUGUCCGUGUGCGUGUUCUUGUGUUGUGCUGUGAAGGUGGUUCCGUUAUGUUCGCGUUGCUCCGCCGGUGAACCCGUACACCCGUUGUGUUUGGUGUAGAACUCGUGUAAUAGUGGGUGAUGCCUCCCGGUACAGCUUGGCGUCUCGCACCUUUUUGAGUGGCAGAAGCCUCUGUGAAAGCGGAGGCAAUUUCGGCAUAGUUUAGCUUUCUUCACAACAUCGUGCCUUCCUGCUGCGCUCAUUUCGCCGAAACGUUUGCAUUCUGCCAGUGUUGCGCAACUUUCGUUGCACGCUGCGCAGCUGGCUGGGUACUUGACGCUGCUCGUAUGGGCGGUAACCCAUGUCUUCCUCGAUGGCGGCGCGUGUGAUGGGGGCCGAUUUGUUGUCUCCCUCUCAUUUCGGUAACUUGUAGUGGGAGAGAUCUCACCGCUCGCAGCAUCGGCUAAUUCGCCAACCCAAUUCCCGAAGUUGACCAGCGUCGGUGUCUCGGCCAUCUUUUGUUUCCGUCGCGCCCACUUCAUAAGAUAAGCCGGGGGGAGCUUACCAGUCAACUCCUUCAUGAGUGUCACAUUACACUCGUAUUCUUGCAGCCCCGAGAUGCGGAUGGUGGCGCACAGGUUUUUCACUGCCGUUCCAUACGCCACUAAAGUGUCCAACUUGUCGGCCCUUGGCGCCGGCAACCAUCGCACCUUCUCUACCAGAGCGUCCACCACCAAGUCCGGCCUACCGAAGCGUUUUCGGAGGAUUUCCAAUGCCUCUACCAAACCUGCUGGGAGCAGCAGCAAGUGUUCUACCGCUUCUUUUGCUGGUCCACGUAGCGCCCGUUGUAGCCGCAGCAAGUUUUCCUCCUCAGUGUAUCCGCAUAGUGCUGCCGACUUCUCAAAACUGGCGAUGAAAAGCGGCCAGUUCGUCCGCGAAAGGCGCGGAGAGAUGAGUCAGCAAUCAGGAAGAAAAGUGGACUAAAUUUGAAGAAUGUUGCAUUCGCAACUGAGUCGCCAGAAGAAAUCGAACAAUUUGAUAGCUUUCAACUUAUUCUCAUAUAUUCUCACAAUUCGGGAAAGAGUUUGGAGCAAAGUUCUGAGCAAAGUUCUGUAGGAGUGGUAGGAGUAGUAGGAGUAGCUUCAAAUUUAGUCCACUUUUCUUCCUGAUUGCUGACUCAUCUCUCCGCGCCUUUCGCGCCUGUUUAUAUCCCUGUAACGUUCACGCUCGCGUAACGUUCACGCGUAACGCCCUACUACGCUUUGUCAUUUUUUUGACAUACUGCUUGCGUAAGAACUGAUCGCUAUCCAGAAUUGCACUGAUUAUAAAAAAAGGAAAUCUCAACAGUACAUUAGCUAAUUGAAGUGAGUUGUGUGUGAUAUCGAAACGUGAUAGCUACUAUUGCCUUUGGUAGUUACAGCUCGAACAAGAUGAAGAUACAAAACGAUUUUUUUUAGAUAGCUGUCCAAUAGGCAGGCGAGCUGAAAAUGCCUAGUCGGUCAUGUUUGGCAGGUCUCACACCGCUAGCUAAGGGGAUUUUUUAGGAUAUUUUCUCGGCCAACAACAACACGCAUACAAGAGAAGCCAUUCUAUCGUUCUGGUUUCACUUUGAUCUUGUCAUAACAGCAUCGGAGAGUAGUAACCAGUAAUCUGGUUCUGAUUUUCAAUGAAUCCAGUUUCAGUUCAGUUCUGCAUAGCGUAGAUCAAGGUUUGUAUCUAGUAUUACCAAGAACAGAUGCCUAUUGAUGUUCAUAAAAGACGCCUUCUCUCUUCGUCGUUAAAACAUAGAAUGCUACAAGAUGUAAAAGAAAGACCUCAUUCCAAUAUGGUGGUAUCAUAUUUUUCUUCUGCUUCUUCUUCUUCUUUUUCUGUAACCUUCAUGUGAUAUCAGUAUCUAAAAUGGGGGAAAAUGAGAAUCGCUACCUUAUCGGUACUACUAAUUAACAGCUAUAUCGGCUACCGGUGGCGGCACAUUGGUUUGCCCUCGUUCCAGACAUCCCGACAUAAGCAUCUUUUUGGCUCGUUCAUUCUUAGGUAACAGCCCACUCCACCCGUCACACACACACACACCGCGAUUGUGCAACAAGCAGCACCGCAACGAGAGACAGCGAGAGAUGCAGCAGCAAACCCCCCCCGCAAGUGACGGCGGUGGUGGCGGCGGUCUAGCGUUUUCCUCCGGGCAGCCAAAACCGUCGACCAGCCAGCCAGCCAUCCAGCCAACCAGGCGGAUUCACCGAUGGCAGUAGAGCUUAUUGAUUUUCUGUACAUCCUUCACCGAAAAGCCGACGCGCUGUCCCAGCUGCCCGCUGUACUUAAUCUGUUGAAUGCAAGAAAGAAAAUGCGUUCACUUCAUUAUGCAACCAGCGGGCCGGCGAUGCGGUACGGACCAGCAGACCGCCGGUAAUAAACCGGCAACCAAACCGACGGCCCCCGAUCGACGUGUGUGCGGCGAGUAAUCAUCAUUAUCAAUCAAUCGGCUCGGCUCGACCGCGGCUCGCGGAAGGCGGUCGGUCGGUCACUCCACUACUGGCCUACCUUUGGUUCGACCGUCGGUUUUCCGUUUUU